GACCCGUCUUGAAACACGGACCAAGGAGUUUAUCGUGUGCGCAAGUCAUUGGGUGUUGAAAACUCAAAGGCGCAAUGAAAGUAAAGAAUCCGCAAGGAUACGACGUGUGAUCUGAGCAAUCACGAUUGCCUGGAGCAACAUGGCCCCAUUCUGGUCGCUUGCGACGGGGUGGAGGAAGAGCGUACGCGGUGAGACCCGAAAGAUGGUGAACUAUUCCUGAGCAGGAUGAAGCCAGAGGAAACUCUGGUGGAAGUCCGAAGCGAUUCUGACGUGCAAAUCGAUCGUCUGACUUGGGUAUAGGGGCGAAAGACUAAUCGAACCAUCUAGUAGCUGGUUCCUUC
rnacentral:rRNA from 1 species